rnacentral:rRNA from 1 species
GACGAACGCUGGCGGCGUGCCUAAUACAUGCAAGUAGAACGCACAGUUUAUACCGUAGCUUGCUACACCAUAGACUGUGAGUUGCGAACGGGUGAGUAACGCGUAGGCAACCUGCCUGGUAGCGGGGGAUAACUAUUGGAAACGAUAGCUAAUACCGCAUAAUAUUAAUUAUUGCAUGAUAAUUAAUUGAAAGGUGCAAUUGCACCACUACCAGAUGGACCUGCGUUGUAUUAGCUAGUAGGUGAGGUAACGGCUCACCUAGGCGGCGAUACAUAGCCGACCUGAGAGGGUGAUCGGCCACACUGGGACUGAGACACGGCCCAGACUCCUACGGGAGGCAGCAGUAGGGAAUCGUCGGCAAUGGACGAAAGUCUGACCGAGCAACGCCGCGGGAGUGAAGAAGGUUUUCGGAUCGUAAAGCUCUGUUGUAAGAGAAGAACGGGUGUGAGAGUGGAAAGUUCACACUGUGACGGUAUCUGACCAGAAAGGGACGGCUAACUACGUG